rnacentral:lncRNA from 1 species
UGGGGGCUCAGCUCUGCUGUGAUGAUGAUGAUGGAGGCUCAGCUCUGCUGUGAUGAUGAUGGGGGCUCAGCUCUGCUGUGAUGAUGAUGAUGAGGCUCAGCUCUGCUGUGAUGAUGAUGGGGGCUCAGCUCUGCUGUGAUGAUGAUGAUGAGGCUCAGCAUAAAAAUUUUAUCAAAGUCCCUUUUACAGUUCUUAAUAAGUUUAAGGCCUUUUUUUUUUUUUUUAAGUAGUCCGUAUCAUGCCAGAUAAGUUUAUACACUCAAGCUCCAUGUGCUCAUGGCAGAGUGACCUGGGGUGGGGUCCUGCUGGUAACCCCAGACCCUCGGCCAAUCCAGGGGUAGGAAAAAGUCCCCCGUGGCUCCCUGCAUACCAUGUUGUGGAGCACAGAAAGACAGGCAGCCAGGCUGAUGGCGGCCUUCCAGCCAUGUUUCCUCAGAGCAGGCCUCAAGCCAGGACCCACGGCAGGACGGCAGCUGGGGCAGAAACAGCCCCAGUUGGCAUGCCUGAUAUACCCAAAGGUGGGAAUAGAAACGGGGUGGCGUUGUGGAUCCUGAAUUGAAAACCAAUGAUAACACAGAAUAGACAGGAAAAACUGAUGCCAACCCAAUCAGCUGGCAGCGCUUAUAAGGCAAUGGCGCCGGGAAGACGGGCGGUAGACCCUGGCAGCUAAAUCACUGCUAACUGAGGAGGAUCCAAGUCCUUGGCCUCCGUUUGUACCUCCUGGGUGUCCUUAGCGCAGCAGUCUGUCCUCUGGGCAUCUGCCGAUCACAUUUCAGGUGGCGCCAGGUGCUCAGAACAUCAAGAAAAGACCCCUGACCCAUGCAUGCCAUGUGCGUGGGCAGUAGGGACAGAAAGAGAUGCUUAACAAACACACAACACAAAUAUGAAACGUGGACAGACUUAGACAGGACAGAUAUUAGACAGGACAAACCGCGGCAAAGAAAUGGUGCCCAAAACCAAAAUUACAAACAACCCUUGGACUUUCGUCCAGGGCGGAAGUCCGAAUUACAAAUUACAAAUUACAAAUUCUGCACAGGUCAAAUCAAGUCAUGGCACCAAACCAACAAAACAGCAAAUUCAAAUUCAAGUCAUGGCACCAAACCAUCAAAACAAAACAGCAAGAGACAUAACAAGCAAACAUAUAACAUUGAACAUAUAAGUUGGGAGCUCGAAUCAUCUUACCUCCAAGAUCGAAUCCACUCAGGUGAGGGGUGGUCCCAAAUCUCGGACGAGCCCCCAAAUGUUAGACCCCAGGAAAACUCAAGUAUCCGGGAUUCCAGGCCACGACUGUGGUCACCUCAAUCACCAGGCGGAUUCGAGAGCUUGAUGCAAACUGCACGAGGCUUUAUUGUAAUUGAACGAGCUAACCCCAUGUUAGCUCGGGUCUUUCACCCACCCGCUAUGGCGGAUGGCUAGCAAAAGACGGCUCCUAGGGGCUCCCGAGAGAUCUUAUAGGACAGCGUAAGGGGAGUGUCUAGGGGUACGCACAGGCUCACGAUUGGUGUGCCUCCAGGCUUGGAGGGCUUGCCCUGUGUUGAUUGGUCAACUGGUUGUUAUGGCCCAUAGGCCCUCCCAGGGUGGUUGCUAUGCUCUCUACGUCAUUGCUGUGCGCUUGUCUGUAAAGCACACCCAGGGUCGUAAAGCAUAACGCCACCAGCUAACUUCUGAUUGGUUCCUUGUCACGAGACAGGCAUCUGACUUUCUAGUGUCUAGGACAAGGUCAUAGAAGCUCGUGUUCGGCCGUUAUGGCUGCCAAAAGGGAAGCUGGUCCCUUCAUACUCUGUGGAGUUUGGGAAAGGCUCUAGGAAUCGGGACAUAGGACCUUGGGUUAUCUUUGGAAAGGUCUUGGGUUGUUCUCUUUAAAUAUUGAUUUGCCCUGUUAUUCUUCUCUUCUCUCCUGGGAUGCAUAUGUGAGGCAGGGUGACACCUGCUCUGACGCUGACACCCAUGUGUUCUGUGUUUCCUAUGGAUAGUUCUCCACAGGCCUAUCUUCAAGUCAUUUCUUCGGUUUCUCCUUUUUACUUACAAAUCCAUCUAUUCAGUUCUUAAUUUUAGUUGCUUCAGUUAUUUGGACACUGCUUGAAUUUUUAAAAACACCUGUAAGACCCUUGAAAAGCUGAGGCUUCCAGAAUCUUAGCCCAGGACGGCGGCCACCCCAAACACAGAAUGGAGGCGAAAGCUUGAUGCAAACUGCAUGAGGCUUUAUUGUAAUUUAACGAGCUAACCCCAUGUUAGCUCGGGUCUUUCACCCACCCGCCAUGGCGGACGGCUAGAAAAGACGGUUUGAAGCCACUGCGCACAGAUCUUUAUAGGGCAGCGUAAGGGGAGUGUCUAGGGGUACGCACAGGCUCACGAUUGGUGUGCCUCCAGGCUUGGAGGGCUUGCCCUGUGUUGAUUGGUCAACUGGUUGUUAUGGCCCAUAGGCCCUCCCAGGGUGGUUGCUAUGCUCUCUACGUCAUUGCUGUGCGCUAGUCCGUAAAGCACACCCAGGGUCGUAAAGCAUAACUUCUGAUUGGUUCCUUGUCACGAGACAGGCAUCUGACUUUCUAGUGACUAGGUCAAGGUCAUAGAAGCACAUGUUCGGCUGUUAUGGCUGCCGAAAGGGAAGCUGGUUCCUUCAUACCCUUUAGGUUUUUCUGAACAAUUUUUCCCAUUUUUUAGAGUUCUGUCUGGUCACUCAAAUAUUUGGACUCCCUCUGGCAUUAGCCUUUAUGGAUUGUAUCUCUUCAUUCAUUUGAUUCUACUCCAUGACAUUGCUUGGUAGUUUUUGCUUGCAUGCUGGACAUUUUGCAUGGAAACUGUAGAGGUUCUGGAGGCUGGCUCACUUGGUUCAGUUAGGCGUGCUCUACUUCUGAUUGCUUUUAUUUUGGGGAGUGCUUUUUAGGGUUCUUCUUCUUUCUUUUGGGUUCCUGUCUUGUUCACCUGUCACUGUGAAAACACUAAAACCUUAGCUUAACACUUUAGGUUUUUGUUUGUUGAAAUAGGUUCCUUAUUGGCCAAGGCUGCCCUCAAACUUUCUAUGUAGAUGAGAUUAGCCUGGAACUCCUGGAUCCAGGAGUUUAGCCCCAAGUGUUGGAGUUACAGGCCUGACACACCACAUCUGACUCUCUAGUGUUUUGAUAGCUUCUCUCUGCUUAGACCCCUUGGUGCCGACUCUGUCCACGACUCUGUCAACGAAAGACGGGAAUUGCUUGCAGAACAGAGAAAGGUUUCCUUUUUCUUUCAAAUCUUGGAGGUCUUCAUGACACUCAAGUACAAUUAAGAUUUUUUUUAGAUUUAUUUAUCUUGAUUUUACAUGUGUAUGUGUUUUGCCUGUAAUUGUAUUUAUGUGCACCUUGUGCAUGUCUGGUGUUUGAGGUGGUCAGAAGAGGACAUUGGAUCCCCUAGAGGUGGAGUUAUGGGUGGUUGUGAGCUGCGCUGUGGGUGAGCUGCGCUGUGGGUGCUGGGCCCUGAACCCAGAUCCUCUACAAGAGCAGCCACUGUGUUGAACUCUGCCAAGCUGCCUCUCCAGGUCUGAGCUCUAGGAUUUAAUCAGGCGCCUCCCUCUUCCUUCUUAGAUUGUUGCUUUCCCAUUUACCUCCGUGCUUCCUGUCCCCCUCAAUCCUGAGGGAAAACAUGCUGUGCUACUGAAAUGCACGAGCUCCACAUGCUGGGCUAUCCCCCAGUGCCAGGAGCCUGCUUCCACCUGUCCUCCACAUGCUGGGCUGUCCCCCCCCCCAGGAGCCUGCUUCCACCUGUCCUCCACAUGCUGGGCUAUGCCCCCCCCCAGGAGCCUGUUUCCUCCUGUCCUCCACAUUCCAUCCCUGUUACAGUGGCUCUGUAUACCAUGGUUUGAUAGAAGAUGUAUCACAAUAGUUGUGCAUGAAGUCUGAUUUUGUACUCUUUAAAAUUGAUAUAAGCAUUUUCCAUGUAAAAAUUCUAUUUAAAAAUUCUUGACUGGGCGUGGUGGCACACCCAGCGCUCGGGAGGCAGAGGCAGACAGAACUCUGUGAGUUUGAGGCCAGCCUGGUUUACAGAGUGAGUUCAAGGACAGCCAGGACUGCUGCACAGAGAAACCCUGUCUCAAAACAAAACAAAACAAAACAAAAAAAACAAACAAAAAAACGGGGGGGGGCAGAAUUCUUUAUUAGGAGCCUGGAAAGAUGGCUCAGCAGGUGAGGGUGCCUGCCAUUUUGCCAAGUUUGACAAUAGAGUUUGAUCCCUGGGACCCACAUAGAGGAAGAAGAUAACUGAUUUCCACACACUCACACACACAAAAUAAAUAAAUGUUUAAAAUAAUUCUUCAUGGGCAGGGCAGUGGUGGCACCCGCCUUUAAUCCCAGUACUCCGGAGGCAGAGACAGGAAAAUUUCUUUGAGUUUGAGACCAGCCUGGACAGGCUCCAAAGCUACAGAGAAACCCUGUCUCUAAAAAUAAAAAAAUAAUUUUUGUUCCCUUCCUUAUAGGCUGGAGAGGUGGCUCAGUGGGUGAGAGCACUCAAUGUGCAAGCAAGCUUGCGGAUCUGAGUUCAAAUCCCCAGCAUCCAUGUACAAAGCUGGGCAUGACUGAACAUGACUGUAAUCCCAGUGUUGGGAAGGAGAGACAGGUGGAUCCUGGGAGCUCCCUGGUCAGCCAGCCAGCGUCUCUGAAACAAUGAGCCUGUGAGAGACACUGUCUUAAAGGAGUAGGGGGAGAGUGACAGCGGCAGACACCUGAAGGCUUUCUCUGGCUUCUGUGUCACGCACACCGGCACACCCGUAUUGUAGCACACACAUGCAUGCUCCCCCUCUCUCUGAAAUAUUUGAAAAUAGUCAUACAACACCUCCCACUUGUCAGACAUCCUUUACAUGUUGCAUAAUCUGGACUGUAAUUCUCCUAAGAGUUCCGGGGUCUCAUGGUCUUUUUGAAGAGGGGUGAUCUGAAGCAGGCAGGAGGGGCAAGUUACCUGGCCACCUCGGUGGAUGAGCGCCAUUGUCUCAUUUAGCCUUGCUUCUUUUUCUCUCAGUUCUAGCUUGUGGGCGGGGAUCCCCAGUAUGUCCUGUGUUCUCAAUUGUUCCUGCUCUGUCUCUUCAGACAGGGUCUCAUAUAUUCCAAACUGGCUUUGUUGUGCUCUCCCUUGUUGUGUGGUGCCAGGGGGCGGGAUGAAACCCAGCUUCUGACAUGGGCCAAACAAGCACCACCAGCUGACCUGCACCCCAUGUACCCUCCCUCCACUGUGCCCUUAUUUGAGCACCAUUCCCCCUCUCCCCAUGCAGAGUAGUUGCUAGGGGAUGGAUACGAAGGUGGAGACAACUUGAGAAAGGAGAUUCUAGAAGGUUCCAAUACAGGAGUUGUUGUUGGCAUUAACCCUGACCACAUUUGGCUGCCUGGCAGCUUGUCAUGUGUCUGUUGUGGGGUUCUGGCAUGUAUUUAAUCAUGGGGUGAAUUUCUGCUUCCUCCCCUGGGUUUGACUGGCACAUGCUUUCGGGGCUCUUGCCUUUGCAAUUUAGAAAGACUAACUGUCCUUCCUUCCCCCAGUGUGCUUCAGGUAAGGGUCACGGGGUUGAAGUAGAGGGUUCCCUGCCUGGAUUGCCAGGCAGCCUAGCACUGUAGCUUGUAACCAGUAAGCCUUGUGAACUGCCUGUCUCUCUGUUCCUCUCAGAGUCUGGUUGCCCCAGUUCCUGGGUGCCAUUCCCAUUACCUCCUUUCAUUUUUCUUCCCUUUCCUUCCCCUCUCUCUAACUUUGUAUUGACCUAGAAUUUUUAUUUAUUUAUUUAUUUAGGCUUUUCGAGACAGGGUUUCUCUGUGGCUUUGGAGCCUAUCCUGGCACUCACUCUAUAGACCAGGAUGGCCUUGAACUCACAGAGAUCCGCCUGCCUCUGCCUCCCGAGUGCUGGGAUUGAAGGUCUGCGUCACCAACGCCUGGCUUGACCUAGAAUUUUACAGAUCUUAAAAAUCCCGUUUUCUGGUUUGUUUGUUCUCGAUAGGGUCUGGUUUAGCCCAGGCUGGUCUGGAAUUCACCGUGUAGCUGAGGAUGACCUUGAACUCCUGGUCCUCCUGCUUCUGCUUUCCAAAUGCUGGGAUGGCAGGUGUACACAUCAUCAUGCUCAGCUUAUUUGAAGACACAUGCUGUGAUAGGCAGGGUAGCACAUGCCUGAAAUUCCAGUACUUGGGAGGCCGGAGGCAGGAGGAUGGCUGCAUAGUGAGACUUAAUCUCAAAACAAAGACAAAAGCAAAUAUUCUAUUGAUUGAAUAAAAUUUGUCUUUGGCUUUUAGUCUAAAAAUGGUAUUUAAAAAUUUAAUGUCUGAAAUUGCUUGUCAUUGUUAAUGUUUUCUUUGGGUUAGCAGAACCAACCUAAAGGCUCUGUUCCUUGCUUUUUGGUGUGAGCGUGGGAUGAGGGAAGGUGACUCGUGUGGAUCUGGGAGUGUAGCCUGAGUGGGACUGGCUGCCAUCCUGAGGGCUGUCUGGUCCCCCAGGUUUGUGAUGACGAGAUAGCUUUAAGCUGUGCUUAUUAACCGG